AAGCCCAUGAAAAGGGCACAGUCUUAAUAAAUCCUUAUAACGCUCUUACGCGUCAAACAAUGAUUCCCCCUCUUCUUGCCUAAAAUUUUAAAUCUCAUUCCUAACUU